rnacentral:rRNA from 1 species
GUGGCGAACGGGUGAGUAACACGUGAGUAACCUGCCCUUGACUUCGGGAUAACUUCAGGAAACUGGGGCUAAUACCGGAUAGGAAUCCUUGCUGCAUGGUGGGGGUUGGAAAGCUUCGGCGGUUUUGGAUGGACUCGCGGCUUAUCAGCUUGUUGGUGGGGUAGUGGCUUACCAAGGCUUUGACGGGUAGCCGGCCUGAGAGGGCGACCGGCCACAUUGGGACUGAGAUACGGCCCAGACUCCUACGGGAGGCAGCAGUGGGGAAUAUUGCACAAUGGGCGGAAGCCUGAUGCAGCAACGCCGCGUGCGGGAUGACGGCCUUCGGGUUGUAAACCG